AAGCUCGUAGUUGAAUUUCGGCAUUAUAGGUUGGUCAUGCCUAUGGUAUGCACUGGCUUUACUGGUUCCUCCUUCUUGAUGAUCUGUAAUGUCAUUAAUUUGGUGUUGCAGGGAGUCAGGACUGUUACUUUGAAAAAAUUAGAGUGUUUAAAGCAGGCAUACGCUUGAAUACAUUAGCAUGGAAUAAUGAAAUAGGACGUUCGAACCUAUUUUGUUGGUUUCUAGGAUUGACGUAACGAUUAAUAGGGAUAGUUGGGGGCAUUAGUAUUCAAUUGUCAGAGGUGAAAUUCUUGGAUUUAUUGAAGACUAACUACUGCGAAAGCAUUUGCCAAGGAUGUUUUCAUUAAUCAAGAACGAAAGUUAGGGGAUCGAAGACGAUCAGAUACCGUCGUAGUCUUAACCAUAAACUAUGCCGACUAGGGAUCGGAUGAUGUUAUUUUUAAUGACUCAUUCGGCGCCUUACGGGAAACCAAAGUGUUUGGGUUCCGGGGGGAGUAUGGUCGCAAGGCUGAAACUUAAAGGAAUUGACGGAAGGGCACCACCAGGCGUGGAGCCUGCGGCUUAAUUUGACUCAACACGGGGAAA
rnacentral:rRNA from 1 species